UAAUGGGUUAAUCCUGUUCCUGGGGCUUUGAUUUUCCUAUCCUGGGGGUUAAUUCUGUCAGGAAAGAGAAAAAGGGAAGUUCCAGGUAUUUCUUCAUUGAGCUCAGCAUAACUCUAUAGCAAGAUCCACAGCAGCUCUUUCUGGUCUCGCUGCUAAUGAUUAUUAUGGAAGUUAUCCUCAUUACAAUCAUUUAAUUUACCAAGGAUCAUAAUACUGAAAGAUAUUUUAAAUACAAGAGAUCAAGACAUUAUAUAACUAAACAGGUGUUUGCCUUGUCAAGGUGAUGGAAGAUAAAAAUAAAUAUGCAAAAUCCC